GUAGCUAUGGCUCAGUGGUAGAGGGCAUGCUCAGCAUGCAUGAGGUCCUGGGUUCAAUCCCCAGUACUUCCA
rfam:Camelus ferus unplaced genomic scaffold scaffold168, whole genome shotgun sequence.